GAUGAACGCUGGCGGCGUGCCUAAUACAUGCAAGUCGAGCGAAUGGAUUAAGAGCUUGCUCUUAUGAAGUUAGCGGCGGACGGGUGAGUAACACGUGGGUAACCUGCCCAUAAGACUGGGAUAACUCCGGGAAACCGGGGCUAAUACCGGAUAACAUUUUGAACCGCAUGGUUCGAAAUUGAAUGGAGCCUCCGGCUGGUACUUAUGGAUGUACUCGCGUCGCAUUAGCUAGUUGGUGAGGUAACGGCUCACCAAGGAAACGAUGCGUAGCCGACCUGAGAGGGGGAUCGGCCACACCGGGACUGAGAAACGGCCCAGACUCCUACGGGAGGCAGCAGUAGGGAAUCUUCCGCAAUGGACGAAAGUCUGACGGAGCAACGCCGCGUGAGUGAUGAAGGCUUUCGGGUCGUAAAACUCUGUUGUUAGGGAAGAACAAGUGCUAGUUGAAUAAGCUGGCACCUUGACGGUACCUAACCAGAAAGCCACGGCUAACUACGUGCCAGCAGCCGCGGUAA
rnacentral:rRNA from 1 species